GUUUUUAUAGUUUAUACCUACAAAACAUUGGUCUUGUAAACCAAAGAUGAAUUGAUUUCUAGAAACU
rnacentral:tRNA from 1 species